GAAAACCAUGACUGAACAAGAACUCCAAAGACUUGGGGUCACGAGUAUAGAGCCUCUAACAAUACUGAAUACAAGUCUGAAAGGAAAGAUACAUGUAUCUGAAUAACAGAAAAAUAACUAGUAAGAUCAGAGUAAUCGGUCCUGCGGACACUGGCAGCUACCUCAAUACUAUGGCAAACGAAUAAGCGACAACAACAACACUAGAUCUCUG
rnacentral:lncRNA from 1 species